AUUGAACGCUGGCGGCAGGCUUAACACAUGCAAGUCGAGCGAGAGGCGGACGGGUGAGUAAUGUCUGGGAAACUGCCUGAGGGAGGGGGAUAACUACUGGAAACGGUAGCUAAUACCGCAUACUAUCAGAUGUGCCCAGAUCGGAUUAGCUAGUUGGUUGGGUAAUGGCUCACCUAGGCGACGAUCCCUAGCUGGUCUGAGAGGAGGACCAGCCGUACCGGAACUGUGAGACUGUCCAGACCCCUAGGGGAGUCAGCAGUGGGGAAGAUUGCACAAUGGGCGCAAGCCUGAUGCAGCCGUGUCGCGUGUGUGAGGAAGGCCUUCGGGUUGUAAGGCACUUUCAGCGAGGAGGCGUUACUCGCAGAAGAAGCACCGGCUAACUCCGUGCCAGCAGCCGCGGUAAUUC
rnacentral:rRNA from 1 species